rnacentral:rRNA from 1 species
AACGAACGCUGGCGGCAUGCCUAACACAUGCAAGUCGAACGGGAUCCGGACUUCGGUCCGGUGAGAGUGGCGGACGGGUGAGUAACACGUGGGAACCUGCCUUUUGGUUCGGGAUAACCGCGGGAAACUGCGGCUAAUACCGGAUGCUCCCGAGAGGGAAAAGAUUUAUCGCCAGAAGAGGGGCCCGCGUCCGAUUAGGUAGUUGGUGGGGUAAUGGCCUACCAAGCCGACGAUCGGUAGCUGGUCGUGAGAGGAUGAUCAGCCACCACUGGGACGUGAGAUACGGCCC